rnacentral:rRNA from 1 species
AGCGAACGCUGGCGGCAGGCUUAACACAUGCAAGUCGAGCGGGACCUUCGGGGUCAGGGGCGGUCGGGGAGUUACGGCGGGGUAACGUACCUUUGGGUCUGGAAUAAUCCAGGGAAACAAGGGUUAAUACCGGUUAGGCCCUUUGGGGGUAAGGGUUCCUGCCGGAUGAUCGGCCCGCGUCUGAUUAGCCGGUUGGUGGGGUACCGGCCUGCCAUGGGGACGUUCAGUGGCUGGUCUGAGAGGAUGAUCAGCAACACUGGGCCUGAGACACGGCCCAGACUGCUACGGGAGGCAGCAGUGGAGAAUAUUGGACGAUGAGCGCAAGCCUGAUCCAGCCAUGCCGCGUGAGUGAGGAAGGCCUUAGUGUUGUAAAGCUCUUUUAUCCGGGACGAUAAUGACGGUACCGGAGGAAUAAGCCCCGGCUAACUUCGUG